rnacentral:rRNA from 1 species
UACAGAGGAUGCGAGCGUUAUCCGGAUUUAUUGGGUUUAAAGGGUGCGUAGGCGGACGCUUAAGUCAGCGGUAAAAUUGCGGGGCUCAACCUCGUCGAGCCGUUGAAACUGGGUGUCUUGAGUGGGCGAGAAGUACGCGGAAUGCGUGGUGUAGCGGUGAAAUGCAUAGAUAUCACGCAGAACUCCGAUUGCGAAGGCAGCGUACCGGCGCCCAACUGACGCUGAAGCACGAAGGCGUGGGUAUCGAACAGG